rnacentral:lncRNA from 10 species
UUUACUCAGGAGAUAAGACAAAUUGCCCUUAUUGAUUUUCAUUUUGACAAUGCCUCUAAUGCCUCAUCAUUGAGUAUAAUGCAAAUCUUCUCUUGGUUUCUAUGCUAAAUACUGUGAAGCUAAGAAGAGUUUUCCUAUUCCUAGUUUAUGAAGACAUUAAAAAAAUAGUUUUAAAUGUCAAUUUCAUCAAAUGCCACUGAAGCAUCUAUAGAGAUGAUCAAAGGUGUUUCACUCGAAAAAAGGCAAGGAGCUGGGUCUUGACAGCGGAGCAGGAGCUAAGCAGAAAGGCACCCAGAACUCAGGAAGAGCAUGGCACACCCAAAGGAGCAGUGGCAUGAGCCAGAAGCACAGCCUGGCUCUUCAAGAACUCUUCAUGGGACCUGUCUCCAUUAAAGUAGCUCUCACAAGGGAUGAUGGGCUGUGCUGCAUCCCCUGCCCCCUCAUAGUCACAUGCAGACGUCCAAGCUGCCAAUACCUCAGGAUGCGACCAGGUUGGAAACAGAAUCACUGCAGAAGGAACUGGCAGAGACGCGGUCAUGCUGGAGUAGGAGGGCCCCAUCCAGUAGGGCUGGUGUCCUCGUGAGAAGAAGAAAUGAAGGGAAGAUGCUGUGAAGAGACGCUGGGAGCUGGCGAGGAGAGAGACCUGGACAGAAAGGUCCCUGGUGCCAGAAAGGUUGGGGGCCACUGUGUUACAGAUUUCCUUAUCUCCUCCAUGACAGCAUCAGCCACAUGAUGGGACUUACGUUUUAAGAGGAUCACUCCUACAGAGGAGUGUAAUUCCUAAGAAAGGCACCAGCAUUCACUUGUAGGUGACCAAAUGUUGACUAAUGGUUCGGAAAUACCUGAGAAACCUACAACGGUCUUACCAAAUCAGCAUCCACUUCCCGCACUUUGUGUUCCUGGGUGACCUUUGCCUUUCUUGUUUCUCCUCUUCUGUUUUGUUCUGUAGAUUUGGGUGAAAUGAGAGAGUCCUCACACAGAUAGUCCAGGUUAUAUUUUUCAUGUGACCACGUGAUGAGUUCCAUUUUCUGCAUCGCUGGUUCCAUUUGGUGGUUUGGAUGCCCAAUCGAGGAGUCGGCUUGGACCUUGCCUGUUGCGGCAAUCUGAGAGCAAAUGAAAGCUGGCCAGGGGAGGGUGGGGGAGGGUGGAUUCAGGAAUGACAUUGUAGCACAUGCUGCAUGUCAACUUUGUAAAUCAGCAAAACAGUUCGCAGAUAAUCAAGUGGCUUUGGAAUUAAGAUUCGAAGUAUAAUUGAGGGAAAGCUGCAAUUUAAAUAAUUAUUAUGCAAAAAAGCAGCAUAUUUAACACAAUGAUUUUGCAGAGGAUUUUGUGUUAAAAUUGUUUUAAUUAGGAAAGAUCUCUGCAUCUAUUAAAAUACUUUACAAACUGCAAAGAAAAACUGAGAUAAUCAUCCCCUCAAAGCUUAACAUCCCCCUUUUUCUCCACCCCAAAGAUACACACCUCAGUAAGACCACUGGCUGUAAGAUGAGAGGGAAAUUAUUUUAUUUGAUUGAAAAACUUAUACUAUACAACAUAACUAGGGAGGACCUCUCUGAUAUGAUGGCAUUUGAGCAAAACCUUAAAGCAAGUGAAGGAAUGUGCCACUUAGUAUAUUUUUAAUUAUUUACUUAUUUUUGAGACAGAGUCUCACUCACUCUGUCGCCCGGGCUGGAGUGCAGAGGCGAUUCUCCUGCCUCAGCCUCCUGAGUAGCUGGGACUACAGGCGCACAUCACCAUGCCUGGCUAAUUUUUGUAUUUUUAGUAGAUACGGGGUCUCACCAUGUUGCCCAGGCUGGUCUCGAACUCCUGAGCUCAAGUGAUCUGCCUGCCUUGGCCUCCCAAAUUGCCGGGAUUACAGGCAUGAGCCACCAUGCCUGGCUGUAUUUAUUAUUAUUAUUUUUCAGUCAAGGACACAGGCUCUGAGGAGGAGGCCUCCGGAGGGCCCAAGGUGCAGCCAGGAGAGCAGAGCAGCUGUAAGGCAGCGGGACAAGGCUGGUGGUCGGGGCAGAGACUAUCACGCAGACUGUUGUAAGUGGGGGAGCCAUGGAAUUUCAUGUCUAGACCAGGGCACCUUUAAGAAUGACAGAGGGCGCUGUUAGUUUUUUAUUUUUUAUUUUUUUCUGAGAUGGAGUCUCGCUCUGUCACCCAGGCUGGAGUGCAGUGGUGUGAUCUCGGCUCACUGCAACCUCCGCCUCCCGGGUUCAAACGAUUCUCCUACCUCAGCCUCGCGAGUAGCUGGGAUUAUAGGUGCGUGCCACCACGCCUGGCAAAUUUUUGUGUUUUUAGUAGAGAUGGGGUUUCACCAUGUUGGCCAAGCUGGUCUCGAACUCCUGACCUCAGAUGAUCCGCCUGCCUCGGCCUCCCAAAGUGCUGAGAUUACAGGCAUGAGCCACUACACCCACUGGGUGCUGUUAUUAAUCAAACAUAAACUGGGCCUGACACUAGGAAACUGGGACAUAGAUGAACCUAACCGUAUGGGUACUGGUUUCAUUCUGAGCGAGAGAACUGGGAACUCUGAGCCAACACAUGGCAUGACAUGUCUUCUGUUUUAAAAGGAUCACUCUGCUGUAGGAGGCACCUGCCCAAGGCACCAUUCUGUCACGAAGCCAGGGCCAGCCAGACCUGCCCACUCUCUCGCCUCCGCCUCCGCAAUACUUUAUUUUGUCCACGGGGUGUUUGCCUGGCAGCCGAGUGACUCAGGCCGUGUUGCUGCCAUUUCCUUAUCGUACCUGGAAGGUUUUCCACCCGAGCCCCACAGUCCGGAGGCGGGGGCUGGGACUCCCCUGGGGCAGAGAAACCUCCUUUGCACUGUCGGAGGCUGUGUGCCUGCCUUGCUGGCCUGGCUAGAUCUGUGGCACACUACUACUCUAUUCAAUUCAUGUCAGUUUAGUUUAUGGCUUUACAGGCAUCUCUGCUAGCCCCGCAGCAAUCUGUUCUGAAAAUCAGGUGCUCUGUGCAGGCAACACUCUCUUGGAGGCCUAUUUCUCAUUAUUUUAAAUGGGAAAAUUGAGACGCCUUACAUGUGAACCACCUCCCCUCCCCAGCUAGUGUUUUGCCAGAUGAUGGAAGCACACUGGGCAAAGCCUGCUCACUUCCUGAAAUAAUAAGAGGAAAAACCAGGCUGUGAAAAGACAUGAGUUGCCACUUUGCUUUUGGUUGAAAGAAAAAGGGACAGGAGGAGAAACCCCUAUGUGUGUAUUUACAGUUGCAGGUGCUCAGAGACAGGCGAGAAGCUGUCCACCUGGAUUAGCUUGGAGGCAUGCGACUGGAGGGAGGAAGACUGCUAAUUUAAAAAACAUAUAUUUCAGUAUUAUUGUCCUUGCUACAGCAAAUAGGAACUAUGUAAUUAAAUAAAACAAUAGAAUGGUUUAUAAUAAAAAUAAAUAUCAUGUUUGGCUUUAUGUCUUAGUUUUAGAGUUUGAUUAUUGACUUUAUAAUUUUUACAGUGGAAUGGGUCCAAUUUUCUUUGAAAAUAUUUUUGUUUCUAGAGUUAGGAAAUUGUGACCUGUCUUUAGGGGAGUUACAUUCUCUAUUUGGCUUUCUUUUUUCUUUUCUUUUCUUUUUUUUUUUUUUUUUUUUUUUGAGACGGGGUCUCGCUCUGUUGCCCAGGCUGGAGUGCAGUGGCGCAAUCUCGGCUCACUGCAACCUCCACCUCCGGGGUUCAAGUGAUUCUCGUGGGUCAGCCUCCCGAGUACCUGGGACUACAGGUGUGCACCACCACACCCAGCUAAUUUUUGUAUUUUUAGUAGAGACGGGGUUUUACCAUGUUGGUCAGGAUGGUCUAGAUCUCUUGACCUCGUGACUCACCCGCCUCAGCCUCCCAAAGUGCUGGGAUUAUAGGCGUGAGCCACAAUGCCCGGCCUAUUCAGCUUUCUACUAUUUGUUGGCUUUAACAAUUAAAGCAAUCUAGUUACUGCACCUCUGUUAUUUUCCAUUCUUACUACGUUUUUAACCUUCAUUUAUCAUACAUUACUCAUUUCCAUCGAUUUCUGUCAGCUCCUGGCUCUCCACUUUGUCUGAUGUAUGUUUAUGCUUUUGUAUCAGUGUGAUGCAUUUACCUUGUUUUUCUUUAUAAUAAAGUUGACUAUCCAGUGCCAUUUGUCCUUCCUUAUUGUUCUCAUUUUAUUU